UUUCUCUCACAUCAGCAAGUAUCUCUUAGAGCUUUUAGACCUGCCUCCAUCACUCCAAAUCUUCAAUAUCUCCGCUUCAUCUUUGCUCUCUAGAAGUAAGAUGACAGAGCUAGAGGUAGAGAAGGGAAAUGAGUUUCAAAUUAUCCUAAAAGAUACUGAAAGUGGUGCUUCAAAUAAUCCCACAACGAACACACUCCAUUGUGAAUCUGCUUCUAAGAAAAGAAAAGGCAUAAAAGAAAGAUCAGUUGCUUGGGGCCAUUUUGACAAGUUCACUGAUGACGAAGGGAUUAAAAAAGCAAAAUGCAAGUAUUGUCAAGACGAAUAUGUAGCAAAUACAAAAAACAGAGGUACAAGCAAUUUGCUAUCCUAUAUGAUCAAGUGCCCGAACAAUCCCCAUAAGGUGGACACCAGCCAACCGAGACUAGCUUUUCAACCAAAAAAGGGUGGUCAAACAGGUGAUGUAUCAGUAAUCCCAUAAAAAUUUGAUCAAGAGGCAUGUAGGAAGGCUUUAGCUCGUAUGAAAAUUAUUGAUGAGCAACCCUUUAUUUCUGUUGAAAAGGAGAAUUUUAGAGAUUUUGUGAGAACUCUUCAACUUUUAUUUCAUGUUCCUUCUCGUACUACUGUGACUAGAGACUGUCUUGAGAUUUAUAAUGAAGAGAGAUAUGUUUUGAAGAGAAUUUUCAAAGAAUCAAAACAGAGAAUUUGCAUUACAACUGACACAUGGAUUUCUAUUCAACGAAUUAACUAUAUGUGUGUUACAGUACAUUAUAUUGACAAGAAUUAGGAAUUGCAUAAAAAAAUAUUGAUUUUUUGUCCAAUUACUAGUCACAAGGGUCAAGAUUUAGCUAGUGGUGUUGCUAAGUGUUUGCUUGAAUGGGGAUUGGAUAAAAUUUUUACUGUGAUUGUUGAUAAUGCAAGCUCUAACGAUGUUAUGGUUAAAGAAUUAUCCAAAAAAUUUACUAGAUGAAAUACAAAUUUGAUGGAAGGUAAGCAUGUUCAUGUGAGGUGUAUGGAUAACAUCAUCAAUCUAGUUGUUGAAGAUGGGUUGAAAGAAAGGAGUGUGUCUAUUGAACGAAUAAGACAAGUUGUCAGGUAUAUAAGGCAAUCUCCCGCAAGAUGGAAGAGGUUUAAAGAAUAUUGUGAUCUUGAUAAGAUAAUAUCUAAAAAAUCAUUGUGUCUGGAUGUUCCAACUAGGUGAAACUCCACAUAUUUGAUGUUGAAGGUUGCGGCAGUUUAUGAGGAUGCUUUUACAAAAUAUUAUGAUAUUGAUUAUGGAUUGAUGCAUUGUAUUUCUAAUUGUAUUUGUGAGGAUGGGCAGCCUGCAGGUCCACUUUUAAGUAGUGAUUGGGAAAGUAUAAGAUGUAUUGUGAAGUUUCUUGAAAUUUUUUAUGAACUCACCUUGAAGGUAUCGGGCAUACUUUAUAUUACAUCUAAUGUACAUUUUCUUGAGAUCUGUGUGGUAGGUUCUUCUUUGAAAGAAUUGAUGAAAAAUGAAGAUGUUGCCGUGCGAGAAAUAGCAAAGAAUAUGAAAGAGAAAUUUGACAAGUAUUGGGGUGAUCCUCACAAGAUGAACAAGAUGGUAUUUAUUUUAUGUGUGUUGGAUCCGCGCCACGAGUUUUACUCUUUUUCUUUCGCACUUGCUUCUAUGUUUGGAGAAAUAAAAGGUGUGAAAAUACAAGAGGAAGUGAAGACAUAUAUGAAAACUUUAUUCAGUGAGUAUGUCAAAAUGAAUGGUGAUUCAUUUCUAUCUUCUCCAUCUCCUCCAUCUUCUCCAUCUUCAUGUUCUUCUUCAUCAUCAUUCUCAAAAUUCAUGCUAGAUUUAAAGAGGCAUAAGAGUGGUGGAGGUAUUGACUUAAAAACAGAGUUGGAUAAAUAUUUGGGUGACGAUGUUGAGGAAGAAAAAGAUAAAUUUGAUGUUCUGGGUUGGUGGAAGUUAAACUCACCUAGAUUUCCCACUCUUACUGAUAUGGCACGUGAUAUGCUAGCCAUACCAAUUUUUAGUGUUGCAUCUGAAUCGGUCUUUAGUACUGGAUGACGCAUACUUGAUCCAUUUAGGAGUUCAUUGACUCCUAGAUUGGUUCAAGCUCUUGUGUGUAUCCAAGAUUGACUUCGUAACGAAUCAACAACUUCGGUUAAAAUUGAGGAAGAUUUAGAUAAUCUUGACCAACUUGAACUUGAAAUGGUCAAUACUGGAAAAGAGCCUUGCAUCGUCAACAUAUAGUAUUGAUGAAGAUUAUUGAACUAUAUUUUGCUGAAACAAAGGGGAGUAGUACAUCUGGAAUUUAGAGGGAGAUAGAAGUUGGAAUUCUUUAAUGUUUUUUUGCCUUCUUGAGUUCAUCCUUUAAAUAGUGGAAUACCUAUAUCUAUUUUGUUGAUCUGUUGCCUUGUUGAUAAUCAGUUUAUUUAGUUCUGUUGCUACAA